UCUCUAGUUUAUACCGCCUAUAUACCACCGUCGCCAGCUUACCCUGUGAAGGCCUAAUAGUAAGCACAAUUGGCAUAGCCCAAAACGUCAGGUCGAGGUGUAGUGCAUGGGAGGGGAAGAAAUGGGCUACAUUCGCUGUCUACCAGCGAACACGAAUGAUGCAUUGAAACAUGCAGCUGAAGGAGGAUUUAGCAGUAAGCAGAAAACAGAGUGUUCCGCUGAAACCGGCUCUUAAGCGCGCACACACCGCCCGUCACCCUCCCCAAGCACCUGGACCUAAAUUUUCUUAAACCUAAACAACCGCGAAGGAGAGGAAAGUCGUAACAUGGUAAGCGUACCGGAAGGUGCGCUUGGUUAAAC
rnacentral:rRNA from 1 species